UAGCGGUAAUGUCAAAAUUUAAGCAGAACUUUGUGAAAACAUUUGGUCCAGGCAGUGGAUCAACCCGUUGCCAAUGGACGCGCUUCAAAGGACGAGUUGGCUUGUGAAGAUCACGAAGACUAGGGAUACUUGUAUACUUUUCUAUGGCUGCUCUCGCUGCAUCAUCAGCAGCUUUACGCUGUUUUCUGGCCUCUUCAAGUUGAAUCUUUUGUUCUUCUGUUAAGCUGGUUUCGUCAAUCUUAGGCUCUGGCUCCGCCUGCGGUGCUGGAGCAUAAUAUCGGCUUCCACCAGCAGAAACAGCAGGGGGUGGAGGUGGUGGAGGUGGAGGUCCGGCUCCUGCUACACCAGGUGGAGGAGGAGGUGGUGGAGGUCCACCCAUAAUAGGAGCUGGAGGAGGAACUGGAAUAGGAGCUGGAGCUGGUGUUGGAACUAUUACAGCAGGAGGUGGUGGGGGAGGAGAUUUAAGUAAUAACUUUUGCUGCUCUUCUACGGUGUCGGAAACAUCUGGUAGCAAUGGCGAAGGCGAGGAAGAUAUUUCACUUCCGGAGAAAGAUUCGUCCAAAUCUUCAGUUUUGGAUGGUGUAUGUACACGAACAGGAAUUCCACUUCCACUUAAAAUAUUUGGCUCAACAUGAUAAGAAAACUGUUCGGUCAUCGCAUCUAGAGAAUCUUGAGAAAGGUUUCUUCUAUGAACACUGUCAAAACUUUUUGAAACCUUAUUAAGUAAGCCCGGUUGUAAGUGCUGCUCAUUUGAAUUCUGCACGUGUUCCAUUUGGGAUUGCAACUUAUUGUAUGCUUGAAUUUGAGCUCUAUAACGCGUUUCAAAUUCGCGCUGCAUGGAUGCGAGGAGAUUGUCUCUAAGAUUUAAUUCAGCUUUCAAUUCAUCCAAUUGUUUCUUCAGAAACUGCAUAGGGUCGCGGGGCCCAACGUUCAAUUGGGAAAGCAUAGAUUCAACUUGUUCUUUCAGAUGCUUGUUUUCAAGCAUGGCUCCAUUAUACUUUGUCUUGUACUCUGCAAUCUCCUCUGCGGUACCAAGUUUGUCUAAAAGUCUUUGAGAUAGGAUCGUUAGACCGACAUUAGUAUCUGCUUUGGCAGUUUUGAAACCUUCCAGUGCCUCAAGCGUGUGAGUCAAUAACUGCAUACUUUUUUGAAUUUUUCCGUUGUCGGGUUCAGUCACAAAAUACUCGAGUAGUUUAAUGAAACUUUCUUUAGACCCCUCACUUCCCGUAAAGCGAGUAUAAAUUCUUUGAAAAACAUCCCAAACAGCCUGUUGUUCCGGAGUUGUGGGUCGAUUAUUAGAUACAGGAGUAGAGGUCUUUCGAGUAGUAUUUCCAUGAGGUGUAUGUGAUUCUUCUCUAUAGUUCAUCUGUUUCUUUACGCAUUUCCUAUCUACAUUAUUCACAUCACUACCACUUCGGAAACGCCGAGCAUCUGCAUUAUGCUCUUUGAUUAGUAAUUGCAGAGCAUCACGGACGUGUCUGUUUCUCCAUUUUAACAAAGAGUCGAUGGCCUUUUGAAGACCAGCAGAUAACAAUUCAUGCCUUAGAGCACACCUAAGUUGCAAAUCCGGUGGAGCAGCACAUAAAUCUCGAAUGAGAGCUAAAGUUGCAACAAGGUAAUCAAUCAAGCAGUCCGUAUCUUCAAAUUCGUCCAUGUGAACAAUCGCUUGAGGAGAUGAAUCAGCACAAACUCGGACACCAGUAAUCACAUCAUUAAAGGAAUGCAUCCAUGCGCUAAACCGAGUUUUUGAUAACUUUUGCUCGACGAGCCAUUCGAAAGCCCUGAUUACAGCUUUGAAGUAACUCAACCCCUUUUUAUUACAAAGGAAUUUAAGGAGAAAAGUAGCCAUGCGAGCUGAAUUUAAACUUUUUGAAAGCACAGUCUCAGCAAUAGUACCUAGAGCAUUAAAUCCUGGAACAGAGCAUUUAGCUGAAGACUGAUAACGACGACGGCAGUUUUCGCUGUUCAAACAGUGAAAUAAUGACUGUAUUAUUUGGGAUUCAAGAGGUGUUUUAGAUGCACGUUCAGGAUAGUGACCCAGGUUUCUUAAAGCAGACAGUAAACUUU
rnacentral:lncRNA from 1 species